UUACAUUACAUGUCUCUGUGUGUGUGUGUGUUUUUGCUUAACAAACUCCUCUCUCCCUCGUUUUUGUCCCAUCAAUAAAUAAAAAGACGUUGUCAUGUUCUUUGAAAAAAAAAAAAAAGGUGAUUGUUCUUAUUCUUAUAAAAGAAAAUAUUAUCUGGUUAGAUUAUUAUUAUAUUAUCUGGUUAGAUUAUUAUUCUUAUCCUUUAGAGAAAAAAAAAACAAAAUCUGGCCAGCUAACAGGAACAUGAUUUAUGCCCGAAUCGGACUCACAAUCUUUUUUUUAUUUAUUAUCUGCAGUGCAUCCAUCUUCAGUGUAUAUAUAUAGAGGCAGACAUACACAUACUAUAUCAAACCAGAAGCAAAAGCAACUUAAUUACUUCCGAGUUUUGAUCUUUUCUCAUUUGAAGAAUAUGGAGUCUACUUACCCAGGUUUUUUAGCCAACUUCAUUUUUUGAUAUCAUCUAUAAUUCUUAUUUUAGUUUAUGUAUCUAUGAAUAACUUUUCUAAUAUAAAUUUUCAGGUAAUGAGUGGUCGGAGGGUUGGACUAUUCCACAUUGGCACAGUAUUGUGGAGGAUGACACCGCAAACGAUAAUCUUGAUCUUCUUGUUGUCCCUCAAUAUGGGAGAAAUCUUGACCACACUGGUUAAAUCCAAGAGUGCUACUCUUUUAUUCUAUGUUUAAUUAAAUAAAAGAAUGGGUAUAGUUAUUACCUGUCAAUUAUAUAAGUUUCAAUUUAGUUUGGUUGUACUACUAAAAUCUCUUGAGAUAUACAAGAGAUUUUCUAUGUUUGUGUCCGUGUAAUUUACUUUCCGUAAUAAAUAAAACUAUUGUGCAUCAAUGUGUUAAUUCACUUAGUCCAGCAAUACAUAAAGAAUUUUUUUUUUUUUUUUUUUGGAAUGAAUCCCACAAAUAUAGAAGGUAUUCAUCGGAUAAAACAAUCCAUAGGAAUUACAAAAUUCAAUUGCCCAAAUGAAACAAAAUUAACCAUGUUGCAGCAAAAACUAACCCAAAACACUUGUUUCGGAGUUCAAACUCAACAGCAAUUAAACUAGGUUGAUAAUGUGAAAAACACAAAGUAAACAAUACAGAAGUUUAA
rnacentral:lncRNA from 1 species